GCUCGAGUGGCGAACGGGUGAGUAACACGUGGGUGAUCUGCCCUGCACUUUGGGAUAAGCCUGGGAAACUGGGUCUAAUACCGGAUAGGACCAUCGUUUAGUGUCGGUGGUGGAAAGUUUUUUCGGUGUGGGAUGAGCUCGCGGCCUAUCAGCUUGUUGGUGGGGUAAUGGCCUACCAAGGCGUCGACGGGUAGCCGGCCUGAGAGGGUGUACGGCCACAUUGGGACUGAGAUACGGCCCAG
rnacentral:rRNA from 1 species